rnacentral:lncRNA from 1 species
ACACGUGUCAAUAUGCAACUGAAAUUGUAAGUCGCAAAAUAAGAUUAACAAUUUGCGAUUUUGUUUACGUUGUGAUGUCACGGAGAAAGGUUUGAAAAGGUGCUGUCCAGCUGAUAGUAGGGAUGGAGUUAGUGAGGGAAAAAGAAUACAUCAUCUGGGACCUCAAAAAUUAAUCAUAGAGCAAAAAAAGUUUAUGCAAAUCGACGUUCGAUGAGAUAGCUGCCACUCUCCCAGAACUGCAUGUUUUCCUCCAUGCAGGGUGUCGUUGGAGGUAAGAAGUGAAAACUCGUGAUGAUUCAAUUUGAUCGCAAUUGUGCAUUAAACUAUCGCUUCAGCAUCGUCCACAGAGGAUUAAGACAUCGUGCUGGGUACCUGUUUGUUUACAUUAACUUUCCGCUAACCAGCUGAUACUUUCCAAUCGCUGUUUGCGAUUCUUCUAGCGACUUGCAAUUUCAGUCACAUAUUGACAAGCGUGAAUUCAGACGAAACCACGCCAAAAAAUCGACAUUAGAAAUCCAGACUUGGCAGAAAAAACAUAUUGAAAAAUAAAAUAGAAAAAUAAAACUGACAAAAUGUUAAAAGUAAAGGAAAAUACAUAAAAGUGAUAAAAAUAAGAAAGUGACUACUUGACAACACAGGUGAAAGACGGCCAGCUGGUCCAGAGACGAGCAGCUGUCACAAAGCCGGCAGCCGCUUCCGACGCCAUUUUCAGUGUUUCUCUGUCUGUGGUGCUGGCGGCCCUCGCUGCUAUCAGGGAACCAGAUCCAAGUAAAAUCAUGCUGCCCAGAAUGAUAUCCACUGCAAAUAAUGGAUCAGCAGAAUUUGCCCCUCUGCAGAGAGUGAAGAGAAGUGCCUCACCAACCAUGCAAGUGUCUCGCUCGGUGUCGCUGCCGCCGCUGGUCCAAGUCAUGUGAUCAGGUGCAAGUUGUCUGAGCACUGGUUUCUGAUUGGAAGGUUAAGGAGGUGGCCACUCUGAGUUUAAGGCUGGUGCUGCUCUCCAGGACCUUACUAUGCAGGUGUUGAGUCACCAAAGCUGUUCUGGAUGAAUGAAGAGACUGUGACACUGCUGCUGGGGAUGCAUUCUUGACGACAUUGCAGGUCACCACUACACAGAGAUCAGUGGCUGGUGUUGACCCUGGUUCGGAAGAGGUCAAAAAAAUAUUGGAAGAAGCAGCAGAAGAGGAAGAAAAAGAGGAGGAA